GACGAACGCUGGCGGCGUGCCUAAUACAUGCAAGUAGAACGCUGAAGAGAGGAGCUUGCUCUUCUUGGAUGAGUUGCGAACGGGUGAGUAACGCGUAGGUAACCUGCCUUGUAGCGGGGGAUAACUAUUGGAAACGAUAGCUAAUACCGCAUAACAAUGGAUGACACAUGUCAUUUAUUUGAACGGGGCAAUUGCUCCACUACAAGAUGGACCUGCGUUGUAUUAGGUAGUAGGUGAGGUAAUGGCUCACCUAGGCGACGGUACAUAGCCGACCUGAGAGGGUGAUCGGCCACCCUGGGAAUGAGACACGGCCCAGACUCCUACGGGAGGCAGCAGGAGGGAAUCUUCGGCAAUGGGGGCAACCCUGACCGAGCAACGCCGCGUGAGUGAAGAAGGGUUUCGGAUCGUAAAGCUCUGUUGUAAGUCAAGAACGGGUGUGAGAGUGGAAAGUUCACACUGUGACGGUAGCUUACCAGAAAGGGACGGCUAACUACGUG
rnacentral:rRNA from 1 species